UCGAUUGAGUUUGAUCAUGGCUCAGGAUGAACGCUGGCGGCGUGCUUAAGACAUGCAAGUCGAACGAAAUCCUUGUAGCAAUACGGGGGUUGAGUGGCGAAUGGGUGCGUAACACGUAGGUGACCUGCCCUGAAGCGGGGAAUAACAGUUCGAAAGGACUGCUAAUACCGCAUGUGGUUGUGGUCUUUUGAAAGCCAUAACGAAAGGUCUUCGUAAGGAGAUCACUUCAGGAGGGGCCUGCGGCCCAUCAGCUAGUUGGUAGGGUAACGGCCUACCAAGGCAACGACGGGUAGGGGACCUGAGAGGGUGACCCCCCACACUGGCACUGACACACGGGCCAGACUCCUACGGGAGGCAGCAGUCGGGAAUAUUGCCCAAUGGUCGCAAGACUGAGGCAGCAACGCCGCGUGCGCGAUGAAGGCCUUCGGGUCGUAAAGCGCUUUUCGGGUGGAUGAGGAAGGACAGUACACCCGGAAUAAGGAACGGCUAACUACGUGCCAGCAGCCGCGGUAAAACGUAGGUUCCGAGCGUUAUCCGGAUUUACUGGGCGUAAAGCGCGUUCAGGCGGUUUGGCAAGUCGGGCAUGAAAUCUCUCGGCUCAACCGGGAGAGGUUGUCCGAUACUGCUGGACUUGAGGGCAGUAGAGGGUGGUGGAAUUCCGGGUGUAGUGGUGAAAUGCGUAGAUAUCCGGAGGAACACCAGUGGCGAAAGCGGCC
rnacentral:rRNA from 1 species